GAACGCUGGCGGCAUGCCUUACACAUGCAAGUCGAACGGCAGCAUGAUCUAGCUUGCUAGAUUGAUGGCGAGUGGCGAACGGGUGAGUAAUACAUCGGAACGUGCCCUGUAGUGGGGGAUAACUAGUCGAAAGAUUAGCUAAUACCGCAUACGACCUGAGGGUGAAAGUGGGGGACCGCAAGGCCUCAUGCUAUAGGAGCGGCCGAUGUCUGAUUAGCUAGUUGGUGAGGUAAAGGCUCACCAAGGCGACGAUCAGUAGCUGGUCUGAGAGGACGAUCAGCCACACUGGGACUGAGACACGGCCCAGACUCCUACGGGAGGCAGCAGUGGGGAAUUUUGGACAAUGGGGGCAACCCUGAUCCAGCAAUGCCGCGUGUGUGAAGAAGGCCUUCGGGUUGUAAAGCACUUUUGUCCGGAAAGAAAUCGCACUUACUAAUAUUAGGUGUGGAUGACGGUACCGGAAGAAUAAGGACCGGCUAACUACGUG
rnacentral:rRNA from 1 species